UGUGGCAUGAAGUGUCGCGAGAGAGGGGAGUUUCUUUCUCUCUCUCUUUUUUCUCGAGCCCGGCGAGAUGGACGCCACAGCUUAGAGGGAGCAUUGCUCAGAAGUAAGUCUUACUAGAUUCAGUGGAAUGUACUUCAUAAUAAGUGAAUGCAGGUUGGCAGCCUUAAUAAAUGAGCAUGAGAAGCCAUCUUGGUUAUUUUGGAAAAGUUGGUAUGAGACCUUACCCCUUGAAGAAGAACCAGCACUUCUGCCCCACAGUCAGUCUAGACAAACUUUGGACGCUUGUUAGUGAGCAAACAAGGCUCAACGACGCCAAAAAUACAUCUGGAUUAGCUUCUGUUAUAGAUGUUGUACGCUCUGGCUAUUACAAAGUCCAUGGCAAUGGGAAGCUGCCCAAACAGCCUGUAAUUGGUGAAAGCUAAAUUCUUCAGCAGAAAAUGCAGAAGAGAAAGUCAAAGGAGUUGGUGGGGCCUGCAUACUAGUGGCAUAAAGGAUUUUCCUGUCUAUCCAGGCACAAAUAAACACAGUUUCAGAUA